ensembl:lncRNA
AGAGACCAGACCAGACCAUGUGACUCAGUGGGGAGAUUCAGGUAGAGACCAGACCAUGUGACUCAGUGGGGAGAUUCAGGUAGAGACCAGACCAUACCAGACCAGACCAUGUGACUCAGUUGGGAGAUUCAGGUAGAGACCAGACCAGACCAUGUGACUCAGUGGGGAGAUUCAGGUAGAGACCAGACCAUGUGACUCAGUGGGGAGAUUCAGGUAGAGACCAGACCAGACAAUGUGACUCAGUGGGGAGAUUCAGGUAGAGACCAGACCAUGUGACUCAGUGGGGAGAUUCAGGUAGAGGCCAGACCAUGUGACUCAGUGGGGAGAUUCAGGUAGAGACCAGACCAUGUGAGUCAGUGGGGAGAUUCAGGUAGAGACCAGACCAUGUGAGUCAGUGGGGAGAUUCAGGUAGAGACCAGACCAGACACCAGACACGACUUAAAGUGGAUUGUUUGUUAAAAGUCCCCCAGAUAGAACAGGGAGCAACAGCAACAUAUUCUCUAGAUAGAACAGGGAGAACUACCAAUACGUCUUCAGAAACAUGUCACAUGUCUUAAGUAGCACCACUCGUCAGGAGACACGCACGCACGCACACACACACAC